rnacentral:lncRNA from 1 species
UCCGUUUUCUAUUUAACCAUAAAAUUACACAGGAGGUACCAUCUUUAGUUGCAGACUCCAGUGGUUGAGGUUUGAUCAUUUCAUCUUGCUUUCUGAACCAACAGAAAAUACUAUACUGGAAAACUGACACAGCUCAAGGCUUUUUAUCUAAAAGCACACCUGAAGGCUUUUGUGUGUUCAAGCUUGCGACUGCCUACAAUAGCACUUGUCUCAUCUGCAACCUCGUAGAGUUGAGAUUUGUCAGCAGGCAGUGGAACGUUAUAUUUUCUCAGAGAUGCCACCAAGACCUGGCAUAGGCGAGUCAAGGGACUGCCUCCUGGUAUCUGAUAACGGUAGAUUCGUGUACCUGAAAAGAAGGAGACCACAGCUAUCGCCAUAGCUGCAGCAGGUAUACCAAACCCCCAUCCCCACCCGACAUGUAAUUGUAUAUAGACCAGAAAAGAUGAAGCAACAAGUGCCCCAAUGUUGAUACUGAAGUAGAACCAAUUGAAGAAAGAGCUUUUGAAGUUCUUCUCAGUUUCAUCAGCAUCAUCAAACUGGUCUGCUCCAUAGGAUGAGACACACGGCUUGAUCCCUCCAGUUCCUAGUGCUACCAGGUAGAGUGCAAGGAAGCUUACUGUUGUCUGAAUGCCUGUUGGGUCGCAAACAUCUUUAGCAGAGCAGGCGGGUUUUAGGCCCGGGACGGACGCCGACAAUGUUAAAAGUGUCAUGCCCUGUCACACAAUUAAAGUCAUCUUUUGGCAUCUUAUGAUCAAAUCAGAUCUCAAACCAAACAGAUUACUAUGCUACUCAGCUUGGUUUCCACUAAAUAUAAGCAAAUAAAAUAUUUGAAAAAGUUUCACGGCUACAAGCAGCUCGGAAACUAAUGAAACAAUACAUAUAAACCAAGGAAGGCUGCCGGCCUGCGCCUGCCUGCAUCGUCUACAUGUGGCCAAGAUGACAAGUAGCUUUAUCCAUCUUGAUUUGUUAAAAUGGAAAAACAACCAACCAUAAAAUGCAAUACAUACAAUGAAAUAGAUGAUUGAGAAGCUGGCGAUCGUCCAAUAUCUUCCAAGAUAUGAAUCAGCAAGAAAUGCUCCUAAUAAUGGCAUGAUAUAGCAUGUUCCUGACCAAUUUGAGACGUUUCUUGACGCUUCAGCGGUAUGCUGAUUGAGUUGGUUUGUGAAAUAGAUCAUCAGAUUGCUGCUCAUUCCAUAGUACGCCAAUCUUUCACAGCAUUCAUUUCCUAGCAACAAAAAAGAAUAAAAAGUACAAUAUGAUGAUCUUGCCAAGAAUGCCACGGUCCAAAUAAGAGGAAAACUAAGAUGAGACAGUUACCAAGGAUGUAAGGGCAGGCCUUCCAGGUUCCGGUUUUCCUCUUGUCAGCAGGGUUCUUACGAUAAUCAACUGUUCCAUCUUUGGUGUAAUAGUCAUCUGCUUCCAUGAUAUCCCGCAAAGGGUACGCAAUCAAACGGCUGUUUCUCCCUUCUCCUUUGAGCUAUUACUCAAACCUGGUACUCUAUGAUACCCAAGAAAAGUAGUAGGCGGCAUGAAAUCAGAAAGAGGAGUCCAUAAUUUAUAGACAUACACUAGCAGAUUAAUUUAUUACCAUAAUUAAUUCGCCAAGUUUGUGUGUUGAGUUGAGUGUAGGUCUCUAAAUCGGCUUUUAUGGCAUGAGAUUUAAAAGAGGAAUCCACAAUUUAUAGACAUGCAAUAGCAGAUUAAUGCCAUAAUUACUUCACCCAAAUUUGUGGUAUAUGAGGAACGUAAAUUUGUUUGAAUCAUUUGAUGUAAAUAGAUUUAGGUAAGAGUGUAAAAUGAUAAUAUUGUAGUGUAAAAAUUACAAGAAAAAUACCAUUUUAUCCUCAACUAAUCUGAAAUAGAACUUGUGAGUCCCGUGAUUCGUUUCUCUUGUGAUCCGUUCUCUUGUGCUCUUUAAUGGGAUGGCAAAGAUAUGAUUUACUUGCUUUAAGUACUCGGCAAAGCAAUUUGUGGCCGCUUGCACACAAAUAAACACAUUUUUUUCUUCAUAUUUCCAUUCCUCCAAGGUUUUGGUCUGCCUAAGCAGUAGACACCACUAGAUUCGGAGAAUAAUAAGUUGACUUUGGGCUACAUUAGAUUGAUGAAACAAUGGCCAGACGAAUCACAUAGUUUUAAAACACAAACGAAUUCAACAAUGCCAUAUAUACAGUUCCUAGUUACUACCGCCAUGAACAGUCCAAGUCAUCAACCGACUGCAUUUAUAGCUAAUGUGUCUUUUUCCAUACGAACACGAAAUGCUAGGCUUCAAAAGAUUAGAGAAAUUAAUGCUUACCACCAAUGGCCUCUAGCAUGAUCAACAUAAAAAUGGAGGAAAAUGCGUGCCCGAAAGAAAUUCAAACAACAACUUUGAAAAGAAAAGAAAACAUCAAAAUAAUUUCUAUGUGAUGAUGAAGAAGAAUAAUGUCAAAUUGGAAUAAUCCCUAGUAUAUAUGCUGCAGUAAGAUGUGGUAAACUCACGUACGUUAGAGAAAUUGAAAAAAAAAAAAAAAAAAGGAAAAGAAAAGGAGAAAGAUGGGAAGAACUCACGUACAAGAAGUAGGAUGGCCAAAGUAAGUCUGACGGGGAUCAAGCAAAACGUACCUCGAAAAGAUAAAAUGGCAAAUUACGUACAUACUCCCUAUAAUUUUGCAUAAUGCCUGAUGAUCUUUUUAAGAUUUUAAAAUAGUCAUGUAAUCCCCUAUAGUUCCACAUAAUCAGUCGGGGCGAUUAUACCAAAGGCGUUCUAGAAGUGUGUAUGAUGAAAUGAUAAUAUCCAUUUAACUUCUCUAUAGUUUGCAUAAAUAGUCACUUUAUUCCCUUAAAGUUUUUACAUUUUUUAACAUUAUCUCCUUGUAGUUUUAUAGAUGGUUAUGCUGUAGUUUGAUUUAACAUUUAAGUAAGGAGCACUAUUAGUAUUUCAAUUAAUAACAUUACAUAGGUUAUUUUUCGUUAAGUUUUCACUUUAUUUGAAACCAUAAUAAGAUGGUGAAAUAGACAUUUAGAAACAUUAGAGAUGCCAUGUGGCAAUAGAUGAAAUCACGGGGAGUUAUUUAAAAUUUACCCAAGAUCAAAUGACCGAUUGGUCGAACUCACAGGUGAGAGAAAGGAUCUUAGAAAGAAAUGCAGACUUCCUUAACCCUGUGCUCUUUAGAAAAUAUUCAAGCAAUGAAUCCAAUCGCAUUUUAACCAGGAUUUAGUUCAUAGUAAUUCAAUGAGUGGUUGGACACAUUGAAUAAUCUCUCACUUUCUGAAACUGCAGUGAACUGUCAUCAACUGGUAGUCUCCAUAAAUGGUGGGCUUCAAUAAAACUACAUUUAACUGCAAACGUAUCUGUUUUAUUCUAUUUCGAGUGAGCAUAUCUAUAGAACUGUUGAAAAGAACUUCUUAGGCCUAUAAUCAAAUGAAUAAUUCUUCUGAAUUAAUUUUCAUCAUGAUCUCUUGAUAAUCACCAUUCAGCAUAUAGGAGUCUACUUAUGCCUAAUCAGUGCAUGGAAAUGAAGACUCAGUGAUUAGCAACAAAGAAAACCAGAACAUAAAUGGUUGAGACCACUAUUGUCCCAAAUCUUCCUAGAUAGGCAUCUUACGAGAGAGGCUCUUCACUCUUCAGGGGUGCAACGCAGCUGUUGGAUGUGCCAAACUAAUUACAGACGUUAUUAGAAGCAGUGGCGUUGUAUCUGGCCAAGUUUUUUUUUUUUUUUUUGGGUAAAAUAAGGUGGUGAACAUAAAUUAAACAUUGUCAAUUACAAUCAUCCUGGGUGUACACUACUUACCCAUUACAUCUUGCAGCACAAUAUUAGAAAUAGUAGCAGGGCAAGAAUCAAAACUACAAAAGGUGGUAAAAUAGAGGUCUCCAUCUCGGCAAAAGCAUCAGCACGUUGGUUUCCUUCAGAGUGAACGUGCAUGAUAAUAAUCUGUGGGAAUCUAGACUUUAAAGAGUCCUGCAGCCAGAAUUUAAACAAGAAGAAAAUAAUAUUGAUCUCAGAAGAGUCAACUCCCACAUUUAAACAGCUAAUGUUCAGCGACAGUUCCAAUUCAAGUCCAUCUCGUAGUGCCCACAACGGACCCCUCUCGAAAUCCACGACAUCAGUUUCCUUCUCGGUGUAAGUGCCAUUUCUAAACUUGGCAAAUCCCCUCACCCGAGAGCCUGUGGAGUCCCUCAACAGACCCCCUGCCGCUGCUUUGCCAGGAUUACCCAGUGCUGAUGCAUCCGUCUUCGGCUGAAACCAAUUGGGACGUGGAGGAAGGAGACAAAUGGCUCGAGUUCUAGGGCCAAGACUUGCAAAUUCCAGCGCAGAAUUAAAGAAGCAUCAGAUUAGUACCCAUGCCCUCACAACAUUCAAUCUCUAUCAAUGAAAAGUACAAAAGAAACAUGAGCUUUGACUAGAAAACAUAUUAUUAGUCCAAUACCUAAAACGUAUGGGCAGGCUUCCCAAGUCCUGGUUUCAUUUUUCUUGGCUGGAUUAUUACGACAAUAGACUGUGCCGUCCUAAUUAGUAUACAAAUCAUCCUGUGUCGUGUCUUUAUAGACAUCAAUUUCUGCGUGAGGAUUUGGCCCUUUCUGCAAUGUCUUGUGCAAUAGCAAAGCUAUGUCAGAACUCAAAAGAUCGCUUGAACCAGCAACUUUUGAUUGCCAGUAGAUUAAAAUUUCUUCAGCUGUAAAUUAGCCUACUUCAAAAUGGCAGUUAGAGUGACGGAGGUUUACCAUUUUGCUUUGGCCUUUGGUGUAACGGAACGGGUAAUAUACUUUACAAAGACUGAGUUUAAUAUACAGUGAAAAAAAGCACAAACCAUUAAAUCUCCUGCUCAGUAAAUAAUUAGCAGCAUUUAGAUGUACUCUAAUUGAUUAUAAAUUACAACUUGCAAGCAUGAUGGUUCUUUGAUUUACUUUACACUUACCAUUCAACAGACUUUUGAUCUGUCAUUAUUAAGUGAGACCCAUUUUGUACUACAUAAUAUCAGUUACCCUUGUCUUCCUCGUAGAACUUUUUCCUAUGUUAGAAAGUUAAAUACUUGCAAUUCUAUUUCCAAUGUUCUCAAUUUGAGAGUGAACAUAAAUCUUUUGAAAAUGUUUAAGCUCAUAAAUUUUUAUUUAUUUCUAAUAAAGUAGUUUCCACAGAAAAGAUUCAUUGAUUGAAAUAGACACUAACCAACUUGAAUUGAGCGUAUGAUUAACUUAAGAUUAUUUGUAAUCCGAUGGAUCAGAUGUUAUACACAUUUCCUUUCCUUCUUUCCCAAUCGAUUUGGGAAAUUAUAGUCGGCCAAAUCAAGUGUCAUCAUAGUUAAAGCUCAAUUAAAAAUAAUAUGUUUAUGUGAGUAGUGUGCAUCGUGAGUAGUGUGAUGCACCACCGCAUGGAAACAAAAACAAAAACAAAGGACUGCGAGACGAUUUCCAAAAGUAAUCAAUUUAUGUACAGUACAGGAUCGAAGCAGAAAAAAAUAAAAAGCUAUUCACAUCAGACGAAGUAGUAUUCGUUUUACCAUCUAGCGGAACAAAGAAAAUGCAAAAAAACAUAAACUUCUAAGCUGCCCUUUAACCCCAAUCCCACUUCCUCUUCGAUUCCGAAGGGGCAGAUUGUUUUUAUCAGCGAAGGAUUCCGACUGCCUUCUUGUAUGUAUACCUCUGGGCAAUCACAAGAAAAACUCCAAAGUUCAGCACACUGAGCGCAGCCAAGAGCCAGAAGAAGUAAUCCAGAUGACCAUAGUUUAAGUUGUCCGGUAUCCAUCCUGGUUUGCCACCCCUAGUGCUGGCUUUUGUGACGAUCGUUACUAAAAAGGAACUCAGAUAGUUGCCAAGUGCGGUGGUGGUGAGCGAUAGAGCAGCGCACAAGCUUCUCAUGGAAUCAGGUGCCUGUUCGUAGAAAAACUCUAGCUGUCCAAUGAAUGUGAACACUUCUGCACAACCUAUUAUGAAGUACUGAGGGAUCUGCCAGAACACUGAAAUUGGAAUCAGCUCUGCGUCGUAUAGGUUAUGUUUCUUCACUAUUCCAAGCCUAACAAUCUCUAGAACAGCUGCAGAUACCAUAGCAAAAACUGAUAUGACCAGUCCGAUGCCCAUUCUCUGCAGCUGGGUCAAGCCAUUUUUGCGACCUGUAAUUUUUCUGGCAAAGGGGGUUAUUAUUGUGUCGUAAAUCGGAACCCAGAUAAUGACACUGAGUGUGUCAAAAACGGUGAGUGAUGCUUCUGGGAUCUCAAAUGAAGUUUUUCCCAAAUGGGUGUCCAUGACUUCGGCUUGUGAUACAAAUAAGUUCCCCAUUUGACCAUAAACGGCACUGAACAUAAUACCAGUGGCCCAAACAGGUAGCAAUCUUACGAUUGAUUUCAGCUCCUCCACCUGUGUCACAGUGCAAAGCCUCCAUGCACUUACUUUUGAUUCAUUUGCAAGAUCUGAUUCUGUCUCCACUGCGGCCUUGUCAAAGAAACUGCAAAUAUAUAACACAACAAUUUUCAUUUAGAAAACUGGGACUGGCAAUUUCAAACCUAAGGAGAGGCAUAAUAGCAAUACAAACUGAAGUAUACUUGGCAAUGCAGUCAUUGCUGCCUCGCCUACAUGCAUAGAGUUGUUAAGGAUGUGUAGACCACUAAUGUUUGAACAGUUUCAAAUCAAAUCUUGACUCUUCUUAAUUUUAGUUUCUUCUGUUUUCUGGUAAACAGCAAAAUUACAAAAGAUACUACCAUCUUUAGUUACAAACUUGGGUGGUUUGAUCCUUUUAUCUUUUCUUUGUGAACAAAAAGACAAAAUACGUUAACUGGAAAGCUGACGAAGCUCAAGGCUUUUUAUCUCAAAGCAUACCUGAAGGAAUCUGUGUGUUCAAGCUUGCGACUGCCUACAAUAGCACUUGUCUCAUCUGCAACCUCACAAAGUUGAGAUUUGUCAGCAGGCAGUGGAACGCUAUGCUUUCUCAAAGAUGCCACCAAGACCUGGCAUAAGCGAGUCAAGGGACUGCCUCCUGGUAUCUGAUAACGGUAGAUUCGGGUACCAGAAAAGAAGGAAACCACUGCUAUUGCCAUUGCCGCAGCAGGUAUACCGAACCCCCAUCCCCACCCGACAUGUAAUUGUAUAUAGACCAAUAAAGAUGAAGCAAUUAGUGCCCCAAUGUUGAUACUGAAAUAGAACCAAUUGAAGAAAGAGCCUUUGAAGUUUUUCUCAGUUUCAUCAGCAUCAUCAAACUGAUCUGCUCCAUAGGAUGAGACACACGGCUUGAUCCCUCCAGUUCCUAGCGCUACCAGGUAGAGUGCUAUGAAGCAGACUGUUGUCUGAGUGCCCGUUGGCUGGCAAACAUCCUUGGCAGAACAGGUGGGUUUUAGGCCUGGGACCGAUGCCGACAAUGUCAAAAGUGUCAUGCCCUGUAACAAAAUUAAAGUCAUUUUAUGACAUCUCAUGAUCAAAACAGAUCCCCAUGCAGCUCAGCUUGGGUUCCACUAAAUAUCAGCACAUAAAGUAUUUGAAAAUUAAAAUUAAUGAAACAAGACAUAUAAACCAAAUACCAUCUUUCACUUCUUUAGAAAAAUGAAGAGCCCAGAGUUUAAACAUUAUUAUAUGCAUGUAUUGGCAAGGGUUGUCAUUCACAUUAAAUUAAAAAAAAAAAAUUUGAGGAGCUAGUUUUGACUCCCAAGACUAGACUAUUGAAAGUCCUGAAUGCUUUGCCUACACCUUUCUGUGAUGACAAAUAGCUUUGUCCUUUGGAAUUUGUUAAAAUGGAAAAAUAAUCAGCGAAAAGUGAAAAACAUACAAUGAAGUAGAUGGUUGAGAAGCUGGCGAUUGUCCAAUAUCUUCCAAGAUAUGAAUCAGCAAGAAAUGCUCCCAGUAGUGGCAUGAUAUAGCAUGUUCCUGACCAAUUCGAGAGAUUUCUUGAAGCAUCAGCAGUGUGCUGAUUGAGUUGCUUUGUGAAGUAGAUCAUCAGAUUGCUGCUCAUUCCAUAGUACGCCAAUCUUUCACUGCAUUCAUUUCCUGACAGCAAAAACAAUAAAAAGUCCAACGCUAUCAUCCCAAGCAUGCCCCAGUCCAAAUAAUGGCAAAACGCAGAUGAAACAAUUACCAAGGAUGUAAGGACAGGCCUUCCAGGUUCCGGUUUUCCUCUUAUCUGCAGGGUUCUUACGAUAAUCAACUGUUCCAUCUUUGGUGUAAUAGUCAUCUGCUUCCAUGAUAUCCAGCAAAGGGUGCGCAAUCAAACAGCUGUUUUCCCUUGCGGAAUUAAUCAAACCUGGUGCACUAUGAUGCCCAAGAAAAUUAGUCGGCAUGAGAUUCAAAAGAGAGGUCCACAAUUUACAAACAUGCAUCACCAGAAAGCUUAAUUUUCACCAAGAUUAAUUGUGUUUUCAAUUAGGUAUUAUUAAAUCUACUUUUAUUAUAUGUGAGCAAUAUAAGUUUGUUUAGCUGCAAGAUUUCCAUUUUCAGCAUCUAUAUUUUAACCUGUACAGAAAAGUAGUCAUGACACAUCACUUUUCUAUCCAAUUUUUCUACUGUGUGGAUGCAACAAAAGUCAGAAAACUUUUCUUCUGAUAGUUAAUGAAGUAGUAAAACUGCUAUUUGCUCCGUAAUUCAAGUAUUUUGCCCAAGCCAAGCACAAAAUUCCCACAUGCAUGUAUUGAAAUAUAUAAUCGAGCCCAACUACACUAUAUCCUAUUUUUAUCAGACGCUUUUUCUUAGUAUCUCCAUUCCUCCCAAGGUUGGCGGUCAAGAUCAAAAAGUGCAAAGCUAUUCCAAUGAAAAGAAUCAGAGUUCUACGUCAUUUAAAACACAAACUUCCUGAUUGACCAAAAUGAACUCAACAAUGAAUUAGAUAAAUCAGACAAAGUUUCCAAUUAAAUCACAAACAUGGUCAUAAAACUGAUUUAAAUCACAAACAGAAUUCGUCAUAAAAGUUGUCAUUCUAAGCUAAACUAAUUUUUUUUUGGUACCAUAACACGACUGGAACCAAAACUAAUAUGCCACAAAAAAGAAACUCUCACCAACGAACUGACCCUAUAAUUAAUGAGAUUAACAACCACCCAAAAAACAAAAAACAAAAAAAUACCAUGAAGAAGCUGAUGCGAAAUCCAUAAAACACCAUCAAUGAGCACACUAGGCAUGAUGGGCGAUUGAAAAAAGGAGUAGGAGUAUUUGUUUCAGGCGGGGAGAGAGAUUCCAUGCAGACCAGAGUUAUAUACUAAGAUUUUUGCCAGUUUGUCGUCAUUGAAAACAGUUCUGCAACUAGUUAACUUAUUUCUUGAGGAUGUGAAAGUAAAAUACUUUUUGUAGAAAAAGCACCAAAUUAUUUGCCGAAAGAAUAAAAAACUUCCUUGUCACUAGUCUACCUCUAUUUGUUUAACCCGAAGAUAAUCCACCACCGUUUGACAGACAGUAACAUAAAUCACAGCCCGAGAAGAUUCACUAAAUGGAUCCGUACGACGUCUUUUUUUUGUUUAAUUAUAUUUUCUUCAAUUGUCGUUAUCAUAUCAUAUGGAACAUGCGGCAUCUCCAACGUGGGGGAUUCCAAGUUUCCAACAUCAACAUCAAAGAUUGACGAUCAAGUCAUCAUCGACUAACGAGGAAAAAAAAAAACAAGUAUGGCUAAACGAAGUAAUAGUUGUAGGGAUCAGGAAAAACAUACCCGUGACAAAACAAAUGACAGGUCGUCGAAUUCACAGGGGAAGCCAAGGACCAAAGGAAGAAAGCCGGACUUCCUAACCCUGAGUUUCCUGUGCAAGUUAUACUGCUAACAUUCAAGACAUAGAAUCCAAUUGGGCCUUCUUAUCUUAUACUGGGAUUUCGUGAAUGGGAUUCUUUUUUUCCGUGAAUGGGAUUUAAUUGAGGGGUUUGACGCGUUGAAUAUCUGUUAUUUCUCACUUGUACCCGAAUACCGAUGGUCUACUCACUUCCUAUGAAUCUGUCAUCCAUUCAGUCUCCAUACAUCGAGGGGCAUCAAUGGUACUGCACUACAGUCCCACUGCAAUUCGCAACCCUCAUAGGAAUUCCUCCUUAACCUUCAAUUCUUAAAAGCCAAAAAUUAAAAAGAAAGAAAAAUGUGUGGUUAGUAAAAAGCUAAAUCAAAUAGGAUUUGAGCACCAACAUUGUUGGACCUAAUGUUUUGUUUAAGAUCGGAUUCUACCUAGAUUUUAUUUUUAUUUUUUUUUGGGUCAGGAUCGAAUUGUGGAAUCGAUGGAUCCUACAAAAAGGGUAAAAAAAUAAAUAAAUAAAAUUCAUACUAAUAAUUUUUAAAAGUUUGCAAUUCACAUAUACGACAAUAAAUAAUACAAUUCAUGUUCAAUCAAUAUAAUGGCCGCACGAUAAGAACCGAUCCUAGCUGUACUUAAUCAUCGUUUAACUGAAUCUGUCGAGAUUAUCUCUAUUUUGAUUGGGGAUUCCUCUGACUUGCUGAGAAUUCUGAGAAUGACCAAAUACCCAUUUCCAUAAAUUUCUUCAAUUAUUGAACACAAAAUAGUGGAGUGGGACCUCUGAUUUCACCCUAGUUAUUAGUUAGGUUAAAUGGUCAAGCAUGCCAUCAAAUUCGGGCCUAGAUUCUCUCCGCUCAGUGGUAGCUCACUUUUACCGAUUACUGUUCAAUUCUUUAACUCAUGAAUCAUGACCGAUAUGAUGCUGUGUAGAUUUCUUUGAGCGAAUCAACUAAAUUUUUAUAAGGUUAAUUAUAAAAACUCCCUCUAAGGUAUAUUUAUUUUUACACUUUGUCUCCUAAUAUUUUUUUUUUUCACUUUAUCCCUUGAAACAUUAGUUAACUCUAAUAUUGUGUUGUAUAAUGGUAUUGUCAAAAAGAUAUUUAUGCCCUUAAUUAAUAGUUAAAUGCAAUAAUUCCCCUAACUUAUUUUGCUCUUUAUCUCCUAACAUUAUUUUUGCCUAAUUUGUCUAUUUGUCACCAAAAUCAUUAAUCAACUCCAAUAUUUUAUAAUCCAGGGUAAAUAAUGUAUAAAAAUCAAUUUUCCUAACAUAGUAAUGAAAAUGUUAUAUAUUUAUAGAUAUUGUUCUAAUUAAAUUGGGAAUGUGCAUAUGGUUGCACUUUUAUUUUAAUAGUUAGAUAUUUUCAUCAUAUUGGAAUAUAAAUUUGUUGUUGUUAAUACUUAAAAAAGAGAGAAACAUUGUUCAUUUGGGCUUUCAAGUUUCAAGGGUCAUUUUUAUAAUAUAGCAUGAUUAGAUGCUAUUAAAAAUUGUUUGGAUUGCUAAAUUUUUGUAAAAAAAAAAAAUUUUUGUCGAGUCAUAAGCACAUUUCUCAAUCAUCUUUUUAUUUUUUUCAAAUACCUUUUUUUCACAAACAUCAGAUCGCAAAAAGUAUUACAGUAUUUUUUAAAAAAAUUUUCAAAUAAUCUUCAAUCCAAACAAACCCAAUCUAUAGGCCUUUAAUAAUAUUUUUAUAGUUUUUUUUUCACUAAUAAUUUUUCUUUUUCCCCUUAUCAUGCAAAACGAGUUGGGAUAUUACCCUUUAUCUAAAACCUAUAAUUAUGGAGAUAACAUUUAACAAAGCCAAUAUCCAUAAAUGUACAAUAAUUUUCAUUGUUAUGUUAGGAAUGCUGAUUUAAAUAUUAUCUAUCUUGAGUGAUUUUAGGGACAAAUAGACAAAAUAACAGAAAAAUGAAAUUAGAGGAUAUUGUAUGUUAAGGGAAUUUAUUGGACUUAACACCUAAGGGCAUAAAUAUCUUUAUAACAUUUUCGUUAUACAAUGUUAAAGUUGACUAAAGGUUUAAGGGAUAAAGUGAGAAAAAAUCAACAUUAAGAGAUAAAGUGAAAAUUUGUUAAAUGUUAAGAGGAGUUUUUGUGAUUAACCAAUUUUUUAUAUUACGAUAUUAUUAACCAUUCCACUGAUAUUGAAGCUCGAAGCCUUCCGUUUCAUUCAAUAUCACAUGGACAUUAGAGGCAUUCUUUUUUUUUGGUCGCUAUAAUUACUUUUUCGUGGUUGGGACUUCGGGGAUACAAGUAGAACUUAAGCAGAUUUCGUCAAUACAAAACUGUUUUACCAACAUUACCCCCUCCGUGCAGCGCUUACCUUAGCCACCCAAAAUAAUAAUAAUAAUAAUAAAUAAAUAAACAAUGCUAAAUUGCAGGACAGGAUAUUUACAUCUUCGUUAACACUCGUACAAUUUUGAAAUUUUAUCCCCUAUUAAAAAACAAAGGUGACGUUAUUUACACUCCUAGUAUGUUAUUUGCAUUCCCGCUAUCUCAAUUUUAUUUCGAUGAGACUAUAUUACUCCUACCCUAAUUUUUUUGCCUUGCCCAUGUGCUAACUAUACUAGAUGUGGUCAUCCAAUUAGGGUAGGAGAAGAAAUCAGGAUAGGGAUAAUAUGGUUUCAUCAAAAUAAAAAUGCGACAGUGGGAAUACAAAUAACAUAACAGGAGUUUAAAUAACAUUAUCCAAAAACAAUUGACAAAGAUGAAGCUAUCUCAUAAUUCUUGACAAUUAAAUAAUUAAAAGAGUUACAGUCCACUAUCUUGCCUUAACUUAUUGAGUUCGUGGUUUAUCAGUUUAUUACGAGUAUUCUUAAAAUCCCCAUCCCAUCAAGAGUCGUUUUCAGAGACUAGGACGUUUUCAAGAUGGUAUGAUUGCAACGGUGGUUGAUGAUUUCUCCCAAAAAAUACCAAACCAGUAAAGCCAUUAUAGUAUUCCGUCUCCGUAAGAGAUUAAUCAAUGACAUAAACUAACAUUUAUGUCAAUUACAUCUACAUAUUUGGUCAUCAAAUACAAGCCGAUCAAGUGAGAAGUCUUUGUUUGAUGGUCUUCUUUAGUUAGUGUCUUAAUCAAAUUUUAAUAUUACUGCUCACCCCUUUUAUUCACCCUAUUAAGAGUAAGCGACAGCAAAUCGACUUUUGCCCUUACAAUAACCAAAUAAAGGAACACCAUAACGAGUUAAUGAAUUUUAAAAUCUUUUAUCACAGAAGAUUUAUAUGGGCAGAACAAGGGAUAGGGGCUUCAAAAGGUAGUUCAUGGAGUACGUAGAGGAAUUGGAAUUAAUAUACUAUUGAAUGUGCCAAAACAAUCGUUUCUUUGCUUUCCGCGAUAGAGAUUGUAGACGGACAAAAAUGGGUUCUCUCCGGAGUAACUUUUACGCAGUAAAAUGGCAUGAAGUGCAAGCCAAAGGACGUUCACUCAGUGCAGGAAUUUAUGUGCAGUAGUCAGCUUUGGACCUUUUGUGAAAUACAUAUGACUCCAAUUAGAAGUAUUCUCAUCAUAAAUCUUUUUUUUUUUUUGGUAACGGAGGAGUGAAAUUUAAAAAACUUAGAAGAAGAGGGAUUUGAAUUCGAAAUCCCUAGCUCUGGAGGUGGUGUUUUUGACCACUACAAUUAACUCUAAUAGAUAUUGCUCGCACGAUUUCCCUUUAGUAGCAAACAUUAAUCAUCACAUAUUCACAUUACAAAGUUGGUUCGUGCAGGAGUCAGUAUUCCGAUCGAGUUGUAAAUAAAUGACAACCCAUAAUAGCCCUUUGGCGACGCAUGUAACUUACUUUAUAAACACUUUUGCGCAAGUCAUGUAUUAGUGGGUAUCAACUCAACGUUGUUAAUCUCCUAUGAUCAAUAACACUAGGAAUCAUCACUGCGUUUAUUUAACUUUCUGGUCAAACGAUUUUUAAAAGUUGCUUAACAAACUUUUGCUUACUUUUUUCCUGGUUUAACCGCCAGACCAACCGCCUAGCUUUCAUGCUAGUUGGUUAACUGUAAUUGAAAAUUGGGGAUUUGUUGAUUGAUUGUUGGAUCAAGUGGUGGAUUAGUUUCUUUCCAGAAAGCCCAACUUUAAAUGUCGAUGAUGGUUUAGGAAAAAAGAGGAAGCUUUUUAACUAAAACUACCAAUUAAAGUAAGCACAUUUCAAGAACUAAAAACUUUCACAAAAAAAAAAAAGAGAAAGAAAGUUGCUGUAAGUUGUAAUGUAUUCGAAUUUCACUGUCGAAGCUAUGUCAAUGAUGCUACAUGCACCCCUUUUUGUGUAAUGACUAAGAUAUUUGUUUUCUAGCAAAAUUUUAUGUACAAAACAAAUGAGAAAUCAGGCUGCAAAUCUUUUGGUUAAGAAAGCAAACUCCAAGCAACCCAUGAAAGCUACCAUCCCUUAACAGCUUUGAGGUAAGGCAAACGGCAAAGGGUUCAAGCCACAAAAACACAAACAUCCAAAGAUGCUCUGAUCAAACAACCUUUCAAAAAUUUUGGGAAACACAGUAUCAUGCAUGAGGAUUGUCUCUUAUGUUUCCCAGACGGUAUACAGGAUUGUAUGGUUACUCUUUCAGAACUUAAGUACCCUCAUCAUAUGUCCAAUGCCUUUUCUGCCGACUUUUGGUCUAUCCAUACAACACCGAUCAACUAAAAAAGAAAAUGGUUUAUUGCAGGAAAAUCACUAUAUCCUUCGGUUAUGUAAGCUUGAGUCCUCCGAGUUACUUAAUUAUUUCUUUAUGUGAUUAAGAUUAGCAGUAUUUUACUUUGUCCUCUAAAAGUAAUGGAUUUGUCACGCUUAAUUUGUAUCUUUAUUUUAAUUAGUAAGAAUUUAGUGAUUAAUCUUCAUUCUUUACAUGCAUAUGCUUGUAGUUUGCUGUAUUUCAUAUCAGAUGGGGCCAUAACUAAUUAUGUGAUGACUUAAUCACUAGCUGUUACGAUUUAGUAGAUAAUAUGCCCUUUUGAAUAUCGAAGGAAAGGGGUUUUUGUUAAAGCCUAAGAGUACUGUUUGAUUUUCUGCAGCAAUACAAUACAAAAUGAGAAUUAGUUGGCACUGCUUCAAUUCUUUCCCUAUGUCAUUCACUUGACUCCUUACGUAGAAAAGCAGUACCAUGUUUGGUCACGUUAGCUAGGAUUUGUUGUAAUAAAACCACUAUUUGUUAGGCCAACCUGACUCUUAUAACCAGCAACUUUGGUAGAUGUUUUGAGAGCAGUAUCCUGAGUUAGUAGCUUCAAGAUGUAUCCUCCGAUGUAAACCCUUCGUUAACUACUUGGUGUGAAUUACAAGAAAUACAUGCUACCGAAUUAUACUUAUGGUCAUCAAAACUCUGACAUCUUGAGUGUAUUUUCCUUCUCAAAAAUCCUUUCUAUAUAGCCCCUGAAGCUAACUACAGCGACGUUGUAGCUAAGAAGCUUGUUUCUUCAUGUUGAUAGGCCCUCCUCCCUGCCAUCAACCUCAAGUAUUCAGGCUAAGCACGCAUAGAAGAUUCGCUCAAAGAAGUAUGCUUCUUCAUAUUUAUAGCCCUUCUCUGCCAUCAAUCCAAGGUAUUCAAGAAAAUUGACUCAGCUCAUUUCUCACGCGAAAACACACAUAACAGAGGGAUGGCGACAUGGUUUCAAGUCUUGGUGCUGAUUGCUUGUUUACUUCCUUCACUGGUUGAGUGCAUCGUUCGUGAAUACAAAUUCAAUGUGAGCAAUGCAUUAAUCACUUUUUUUUAUCUGGCAUUUCAGAAAAAGUGAUACAGUAUUAUUCAAAAAUUAUUUUCUGUGCUUGCAUGGCAAAGUAUUCCAAUUCAGUUUCUUUUUUCGAGCAAAUGCAUUGCUUAUUAUGCAAUGCUGCAAUAAUUGUUGUGCUCGUCUAACGAAGUUGACAGAUCGAGCUACAUUAACACCAGUAUUUCAGUGCAGUUAAUAAUAUUACAAAACCAAUGCUGUUAUCGUUUCACGUAUUAACCUGAAAAUAAAUAGGUUAUUAACGUAUAAAAAUUUAGAUAUCCUACACUUGAUUUAACUUUUUGAUCAGAAAUUAAGAGAGAAUAUGAUAUGGUUGAAACUGAUGGCAAGGGAACCAGGUGGUGAUGGCGAACGCCACAAGACUAUGCUCAACUAAGCCCAUAGUGACAGUGAAUGGGCAGUUUCCGGGUCCGACGAUCUAUGCCAGGGAAGAUGACACCGUUCUCAUCAAGGUUGUCAACCACGUCAAAUACAACCUCUCCAUCCAUUGGUUAGUCCUAUGACCCCAACAUAUAUAUAUAUAUAUAUGAUGAUGCUUUCAUUCCAAUUCUCCGUUUCUUCCCUAAAAUGCCACUAAAUUUUGAAAUAAGGUCUAAAAUUUUCUCCGAUUUUCCAAUUUUCACCAUUUUUUUCCUCUUUUCAUUCAACAUAUUCUCCAAUUUUUUUUGAAAGCAUUCUUCAAUUGACUCAAUAAUUAACAUGCUCUAAUUGCCCCUGUUGCUAACCAGUCUGAACCAGUAAUACUGUAACACUUGGUUGAUACGAUGUAUGUGAGAUAAAAAUAUGAUUGAAAAAUGUAUUUAUAAUGCAAGCAAACAAAUUUAUGUCAAUAAUAAUAAUCUGUUAUCUAAACAGUUUAUUUGGAUGAUUUAUUUGAAAUAAUUACUGUAGCACUUUUUGUGAUGUGAUGUAUGUGAGAUAAAAAGAUAAUUGAAAAGAUAAAAAGGUGAUUUAAAUUUGUGAAACAAAUUAUUUUAUUUAAAAUCAUCUCAAUCCAAACAAACCAACUAUGUGUUGGACUAUGUGAAGGCAUGGCGUAAGGCAGCUUCGAACGGGAUGGGCCGACGGUCCAGCAUACAUUACGCAAUGUCCAAUUCAGCCAGGGCAAACCUAUGUCUACAACUUCACGAUCACAGGCCAGAGAGGAACACUUUGGUGGCAUGCGCAUAUCCUAUGGCUUAGGGCCACUCUCCACGGUGCACUUGUCAUCCUCCCCAAGCCCGGCGUACCGUACCCAUUUCCUAGCCCACAUGAGGAAACUAUCGUCAUAUUAGGUCACAUAAUAUAUUUUUCAAAAAAAAUAAAAGAUAAAGAAGAAGAAUUAUCGAUAGUAUUACCAUCGAUCAUCUUUUAAAAUUUCUAUGCUUUGACUUUAUAGGUGAGUGGUGGAAGUCAGAUGUUGAAUCGGUUAUCAAAGAAGCAUUGAAAUCGGGCUUGGCACCUAAUGUUUCCGAUGCUCACACGAUCAAUGGCCAUCCAGGGUCCGUCCCGAAUUGCUUCUCUAAAGGUAGCCAUCGAAUUCCUAACAUGCAUGCAAUUUGUGCAAAUCCCCAGUUUGCGCCUAACAAUUGUGCAUGCUUUCAUGCACCAUAAUAACUCUUUUUGGUGACACUACUAGAUGACUAAAUCCAAUCCUAUAAUACGCUGAAGUCCAAUGCCUGUUCUUAAUUAAUUUCAUGUGAUCUUCACGAACCUCUUUUUUUCUUUUUUGGGGGUAAUAAUACCCAGGAAGGUUCAGAUUGCCGGUGGAUCCAGGCAAGAAAUACAUGCUGAGAAUCAUCAAUGCAGCGCUUAAUGACGAACUUUUCUUCAAGAUUGCGGGUCACAAUCUCACAAUAGUUGAGGUUGAUGCAGCAUAUGUGAAACCAUUCACAACCGACACUAUUCUAAUAGCACCAGGCCAGACCACCAACGCCAUUGUAUCCACCGAUCAGGAAAGUGGCAAGUACUUAAUGGCAGCUUCGCCAUUUAUGGACGCCCCUAUUGCAGUUGAUAACCUUACCGCCACUGCCACAUUACGUUAUUCCGGCACCGUUUCGAGUAUUGCCACCACCUUGACAAGUCUGCCGUCUAAAAAUGCCACCCCUGUGGCUACAAAAUUUAUGGACUCCCUCAGAAGCCUGAACUCGCAAGAAUACCCUGCCCAGGUUCCCUUGGAUAUUGAUCAUUCUCUUCUUUUCACGAUUAGCAUUGGAAUCAACCCUUGUGCUACUUGUGUCAAUGGUAGCCGACUCGCGGCUGAUAUCAAUAAUAUCAGCUUCGUCCUGCCCAAAAUCUCUCUCCUGAAUGCACAUUUCUUUAAUCUAAGUGGAGUAUUCACUGAUGAUUUUCCAGGGAACCCGUUAAUGCCGUAUAAUUAUACGGGCAAGCAGCCUACCAACCUGGGGACUAUGAAAGGAACUAGGCUAUAUAGACUUGCCUAUAAUUCCACUGUACAGUUAGUAUUGCAGGAUACUGGGAUGAUUAGCCCUGAAAGCCAUCCAUUUCAUCUGCAUGGUUUUAACUUUUUUGUGGUCGGAAGUGGUAUAGGCAAUUUCAACCCCAACAAGGAUCCGCCUAAUUUCAAUCUUGUUGACCCUGUUGAAAGAAAUACGGUCGGAGUGCCUACUGGUGGCUGGGUUGCCAUCAGAUUCCGAGCUGAUAAUCCGGGUAAUUUCUUGCUAUCAAAAUUUUAUUUAUUUAUUUUUUUUGCACAAGCAGUAGAUGUUAUAUUACAUUUAUUACUCGCGAUUAAUGUUAUGAUGCUGAAAUAACGCAAUAGCUUGAGCGAGACAAGACUCGAUAAACCCAAAUUUUGUCAAAUGAUUAGUUGUUCACCUAAUAAUGGACUAAUGCUGCCGGAAAAAUCUAGCAGACAAUUGGUGGAGCUUACGUAAUUAAAUGAACUUUGACUCAACAGCUGUUUGCAAGUAAACAAACACCCUGUUAAAGUUGUGAACUUUGUUCUCCAAUAAAUCCAUAACACUUCACUAUAGUAUCUGAUCUCUAAUGAGGUUCUUUAACUGAUAAGUGCUAGUGUUAUUAGAUGAUUUUCUGUAACAUCUUCAUGUUCUUGUUGUAGGGGUGUGGUUCUUGCACUGUCACUUGGAAGUCCACACCACAUGGGGACUUAAGAUGGCAUUUGUGGUGGACAAUGGGAGAGAUCCAGAUGAAUCCCUUCUACCACCACCGACAGAUUUACCCAAAUGUUGAGAACUUUCGGAUACUCCAUGUACAUUAUAUAACUUCAAGAAUCAGACAACGGAAGGCUGGACACUCAACAUAUAACAGGGCAGUUCACCCGGUAGAUUUCGUUUUAUAUCUAUCGGCUUGUUGCCAUAAACAAUCAUACAAAGAUAAGGAAAUUACCAUGAUAAACUUUUAAGUUCUGGAAAAGGAUAAAGAAUUAAGAGGGAAUGAAUACCUGAAGCAACUGUCCCUAAGAUCUUGGGUAGCGUUGGAUUGGAUGAUAAGGUGGGAAAAAUUGUAAGUAGAAACUCCUAAAUUCAAGAGUUUUCGCUUACAAAAAAAAAAAAAAAUAAUAGUAACAGAAAAAUACUGUCCCUAGGAUCUGAUUUGUUUGGUUUCAAUUCCUGGUGCCAAAUGCAAUUGUAAUUUAAAUUGUGGUGUAUCCUUUUGCUACAUGUAGUGUGUGAUUCAUCAAGGUGAAGCUUCGGUCCAAAUGAAGUUUAUUACAGCAUUCCUUUAUGACGCAGUUGAACCUGGUGUAGAAAUUUGCAGAUAUGGAGAAUUACACUGUCAGUUCCUAAUCCUCUAUCGAAUUUCACCUUGGUCCACUUAUUUUUUACUUUUCAAGCCAAUUUGCAACAAGUGAAAAUGUGAGACUUUUUGCAAGUAAAAUGCCCCUGAUCUGAUCUCUUUCUUCUACUUUUCAACGAUUCGAUUGUAUAAACAGGGGCGUAUAAUCAGCCCACCACUGUACGAGCUUCCUUGUAUCUUAAAACAGAAGAAAAUUUGUGGAUGCAAGUGUCACGCGACUAAAAAAACUCAAGAUUGCUUAAUGGAUUCAAUCCUCUUUGGUUGGAGUAGAUGGGCAAACAAAAUGGUCGUCGAUGCAGGAGAAAAACGGAAAAUACAACAAAAGCCUAUGCAUUAAUAUUGGAGAGUACAUAUUUUUCGUGAUUUGUUUGCAAGUAGCAGCAAAGAUAUAAAUUGUAAAAAAAUUAGCUUUUCCUUGAGUAAAUAGUAUUAGAAAAAGGUCCCAUAGGAUAUGUAACUUUUUCGUUCUUUUCUUAUUCAACUAUCUUCUUCUCUCGUUCGUUUGAUCCGACAAAUGAGAGUUUGAGGGAAGUGGUCGAGGUGUCUUGAGAAAGGUAAUUGAAAUACUGAUCAUAAUGGAGAACUAUUCAGUAAUCAUAGCUGUUUCAAGCUACGUUUGAACUAAGGGAAAAAAAAAAUAUUACUGCAAGAUGAAAGGUACCAUUGGCCAACUACAUAAACCCUAAGUCGGAUAAACAGCAACCCAAGUCAUAGACGAUAGAACCCAAUUCUCCACAAGCCCUUCUUCAACAAGCUUUGGACUAGUAAUUGUUAACUUUGGCAAGAAUAAUUAUACGAAAUUACAGCUCAUCUUGCUUGCCAGAAAAACUAGAAAUACAGCUCAUAUAUCAAUAAUAAUGCAUGAACUCGUCAAUCAUUAGAUAAAGAGAUGAGUUAGAAACCACAAUUACUUGCUCAGGAAUUAAAAUGUCUUUAUCCAAUCCAAUCCAUUCUGAACUCAUCAAAACUAAAUGUGAACUUUGUGUUUCAAAGUUGUUUAAUUUAUGUCUCUCUAUGCCAAUAAUUAUAUAAUUAUAUUCGGUGAAAGGUUAUAUGUCAAAAGUUUCCAGAACCUUGUUUAUAAUGUUAACUCGGAAAAUUUAUCACUGGAGGCUCAAAUCCCAGAAACAUAUCAAUUGGAAGCUUUUGGGUAAAGCCCACAGCCACUGCUGAGUUUUAAUACUUUUUUUUUUUUUUUUGGAAGGAAAAUUGGUUGGUGGGGUUUCAAUUCUUUGACACGUAAUUUUUGUGAAGACAAGUUAUAUUCUUCAUAUGGAAAUGUUAGCUGUCCAGUCCACUCUUCUCCAAUUGGAGAUAAGCCGAGAAUUUCUUCUCUCUUUUUCACGAUGAGGGAAAUUUUUCUUUUAUUCACAACUAAAAUCAUUUGACAAAAAUAAAAAAAAAAAAGAGUGGAAUAUAGUACAACAAUGUAUAUAUGCAUGCUAAGUGAUCCCUUAGUCAACUAGUUUCUGUAAAUUAGAAGGUACUAUAUAAAAAAUAGAGCAGUACGUGUAGACUUUUCCUCGGUCCUUUUCUACUCUGUAGAGUGUCAUUUUCGCCCGCAAAUCUAACUAAAACGACAUUGUAGCAAAGAUCCUUUAAAAGUUCAAUCUAACGUAACGCACCAAAUUAAACUACUAGAAUUGAACUAGUAGCUAGAAGAAGAUCCACACCCGCACACACACACACACACAGAAAGAGAGAGAGAUGGCACCAUCAUCAUCAUCAUCAUGGCUUCGGCUUCGAGUGUUGGUGCUGGUGGCCUGUUUACUUCCGUCAUUCAUCCAAUGCAAGAUCCGCAUUUACAAGUUCAAUGUAAGUCAUCCAAAUUCUUCUAACUCAGUACUCAUUGAGUUAAACUUUCUUACCCAGAUUCAAAAUGCAUGGUCUCAUUGAAAUUAUGAGUUCCAUAUAGGCAUCAAUUAGCUUACAUUAAUGAUAAUGCUGGCAGUCCACAGAGGCCAGAAGAAUCAAGGCUAGGCUAACAAAUUGGAUUGUUUAGUACGUAGUAAUUCUCGAAUGAUUUCCCUGUAGUGUUCGCCACUUAGCUUUAAACUGGCGAGUAGUAGUUUGGAAAAUGGAAGAAUCAAAUACUUCAGAGAUUAAAAUGCCACGAUAAGGUGUGGUUUGCGAGUGCAUGCAGGUGAUGGUGACGAACACUACAAGACUCUGCUCAACUAAGCCUGCAGUUACAGUUAACGGGCUUUUCCCGGGUCCAACAAUCUUUGCCAAUGAAGACGACCACCUGCUCGUCAAGGUUGUCAACCAGGUCCAGUACAAUUUGACCAUCCACUGGUUAGUCUAACACUGUUCAUCAAUCCAUCCUUCUUCUUUUUUUUCUAACUUUUUGCCUAAUUUUUAUUCUACUGUUCAAAAAGAGCAACGAAAUGGAUUUUAUCUACACAAUCAUGGGCAGGCACGGAAUAAAGCAACUUCGCAGCGGAUGGGCGGACGGGCCGGCAUUCAUAACCCAAUGUCCAAUUCAACCAGGGCAAACUUACGUGUACAACUUCACAAUCACAGACCAGAGAGGAACGCUCUGGUGGCACGCUCAUAUUGGCUGGCUCAGGGCCACCGUCCACGGCGCACUUGUUAUCCUGCCUAAACUUGGCGUGCCCUACCCUUUUCCCCACCCGGAUAGCGAAGUGGUCAUCAUUUUAGGUCGUACUAAUAUUUAUGCGAAAAUAGCCUACUUCUAAGCAUUUCUAGUGUACUUUCGAAGCAUUAUUUAUUUCGCUGCUUAGGUCCUCUUCUUAACUGAUUUUGAUUGUAUAAAAAUUAUUUUCAAAAAAUCAGAAUUUAAAAAAAAAUACUAAAGUAGAUGCUUCUGAUUUUCAAUUUUUUUAUUACGCUAAAAAAAAUCCAAAAUUAGGAUAUGAAAAGCUAUUGAAAACAGAAGGAGAAAGAUUUUUCAAAAUCAGCUGAGAACAAGAACUUAAUGGAUUAUUUAUUUUAUAUGGUUGCAAUUGUUUUUAUGUGAAAGCUCUGGUUUAAUCAAAUUUCCUUGUUCAAUUCAUAGCUGAAUGGUGGAAGUCAGAUAUCGAGACGCUGAUCAAUAGCGCAAUGAAAGAAGGCCUUCCAUUUCAGGUUUCUGAUGCAUACACAAUCAACGGCCAAUCAAGGCCUAUCUCAAAUUGCUCUUCAGAAGGUACAAAGCAAAUUUGUUCUGCUACUUUCUCUUCUAUUACCUUUGCAAUGAGCUUGAUUGAAUGUUUAGGAUUUGAUCGCCAUAUAUUUUCUCUCCUAAAAAAUUGGACAGGGGGAUUUAGUUUUCCGGUGGAACCAGGCAAGAAAUAUAUGCUGAGGAUCAUCAAUGCUGCACUUAAUGAAGAGCUCUUCUUCAAGAUUGCCGGCCACAGUCUCACGGUUGUUGAGGUUGAUGCAACAUAUGUGAAACCAUUCAAAACAGGCACCAUUUUCAUAACGCCAGGACAGACCACAAAUGCCAUUUUAGAGGCUGAUCUUGGUACGGGCAACUACUUGAUGGCAGCCUCACCAUUCAUGGCGGAGCCCGUUCCUAUCGACUACACGGCUGCCACUGCCACUGUGCAUUAUUCCGGCACCCAAUCAUCUGCAGCCACCACAUUAACAGACCUUCCACCUAGAAAUGCAACUCCUCUGGCUACAGCAUUCGUCGACUCUCUGAAAAGCCUCAACUCACAAAGAUACCCUGCCAGAGUCCCCUUGACCGUUGAUCAUUCUCUCCUUUUCACAAUGGGCCUAGGCUUCAACCCCUGUGCCACUUGCAUCCAUGGAUCGCGAAUAGCUGCAUACUUCAAUAACAUCUCAUUCAUCAGGCCAGAGAUCUCGCUCCUUAAUGCACAUUUCUUUAAUAUCAGCGGUGUCUUCGCUGAUGAUUUUCCGGGGAAUCCGCCAAUCCGGUAUAACUACACCGGCGAACAACCUACGAACCUUAGGACAAUGGAAGGUACGAGGCUUUACAGACUCGCCUUUAACUCGACAGUUCAACUGGUCUUGCAAGACACGGCAAUGAUCACCCCGGAAAACCAUCCGAUUCAUUUGCACGGAAUGAACUUCUUCGUCGUGGGAAGAGGUUUGGGGAAUUUCGAUCCAGAAAAGGAUCCCAGCAACUUUAAUCUUGUAGACCCUGUGGAAAGAAACACUGUUGGAGUCCCUUCUGGUGGAUGGGUAGCUGUCAGAUUCAGGGCCGAUAAUCCAGGUAACGUGUUAUUACCAAAUGCAGGACAGCACCUUUGCGGCAAAUUUUUUACUAAUCGCAUUAAUUUGGUUCUUUUUUUUUUUUUUUUGGCUGCUGCAAAUCAACAUUAAUGAGAUAAAUUUAACUAUUAACCGAUUUGAUCCUCAAAAAAAUAUUUUUUUUUUUUAAAUCAAGAUUCUGAUUGUUCUUUUGCAGGAGUUUGGUUCAUGCAUUGCCAUCUAGAAUCACACACACUUGUGGGACUUGAGAUGGCAUUUGUGGUGGACAAUGGGCAAGGACCAAAUCAAUCUGUUCGUCCACCUCCUAGAGAUCUUCCCAGCUGCUAAGAAUUUCCGAAGGCCGACGAAAUGCUGUUGCUUGCGCGUUACUUUUUUUUUUUGGGUUUCCUCCGUUGUAAAGUCAAAGAUGGAGAAAAGAUGGCAGACUAAGCAUGAAAAUAAGGACAUCAUACACACCACUUGAUCAAUUCCGGCUGCCAAAUGUGACGGUUCCAUCCAAUGUUUGUGGAAUACGUACAAUAAUGUAUUCUGAUUGUAAUUUUUUUUUUUUUUUACUCCCCACCUCCUGGAACCAAGAUUAGGCAUAUCAUAAGAUGAACCCUUUUCUGUCUAACUCUGCCGGGCAAUCAAUCAUAAGAUGAUAUCCUUCGUAUGAACAAGCAUUGCAUAUUUGCAUCCACACACAAUGUUGAUAAAUAGUAGUAAACAAAAUCAUCUUAUCUUAUGCUCCUCAAAGAAAACAGGCACUCUAGUACUAAUCAUUUUAAGGCUUUCAAUAGAAAAAUACUACUCCGAAUGGCUUGGUCCGAUUGGACAGGAAAUGAGGAAAAUGGAACUUGGUUCGAUUAGAUCCAUUACAAGCUGCUUGUGAAAUUGGGCCAAGAUGGGGUCCACUGAAGCGUUGCUAGCUAGAGCGACCCAUUUCUAAACAUGCUGUCCACAAACCUUCAAGGUUGUACAGUGACCCGUUUUUCUAAAUUUCUUAUCCCUUGCAAUCUACAGAUCAUGGGCCUGCAUUCCAGACCGACCCAUGUCUAAUCUUUCUACUAUUUUUAACUGGACAUUUGAGCAUAUCUAAUUGCUUGACCCUUGAAUUUUCAAGUUUCGGUGGUGAGAAGUGAUUCUUUACAACUCUGAACUCUUUAUCAUUGCAAUUUUUUCAAUGACAUGGCUCGGAUUAUAAUUAUAUCUCUAUUUUUCAGAGGAGAAAGACGAGUAUUGAAAUCAAAGCUACAGUUUGGCAAAAAAAAUUUUGAGGAGGGGGCGGGGUGAUAUAUAAACAGCGGUGAUAAAUGUAAUAAUAGGCUCCUCCGAUGCUUUUGGGUUCCAGCUAAUCUUUGACCAGGCUUGGUUGAUAAAUAAGCAGGCUUGAGUCGAAUGGUCUCAAAAAAGAAUGAUGAGACUCUUGAUUGUGAUACAAUGAAAAGUGAACACAGCACUUUUAACAACAAAUUAGCUAUUAACAACAAAUUAGCUAUUAACAAAUUCAAUUAAGACUAAGUUUUUUUUUAAUAAAAAAAAUUAAGUCUAAGGUAUGAAAACAUCAAUUAAAAAAAAAACCAGGACCCAGAUAUAAGAGUGAUAGAAACUACUCCGACAUUAGCUCACCAAAUCAAGCUUUCUUUCAGAGUCCAAGGAAUUGGACGGCUGCCAUGUGUUGAGUUUGCAUAAGCCCAAAUGUCCAAUCAAAAACGAUAAUGAUGGCAGCAUUUCUUUAAUCUGCACUUUACGCGGAUUAAUCAAACCCCGAAGCGAAGUAAAGCAAACAUCAUAAUUUAGAUUAGUCAAGACGAUGAAUUAGACAAAGUCCUUGAUGGGAAGUUAAUAAAUAUAUGGUGGGUAAGUCUUUGAUUGAAAUGGAAGGGGGAAAGUGCAGGCUCGAGUGGAACAGUAAAAAUUGACGGAACCAAUUUUUAACUAAAGUAGCAGAGGAAUUUACGAGUUAUUGCGGCUUGGGAAAGACCUCGUGACUGCAAGUGAUUGAAAGCUGCACGCUUGCGCACAUGACAUGAAUGAGAGAUGCACACGCUUUCCGAGUAGUGCUACCUUCAAGUCUGUCACAUGGCCGGACUAUUUUGACUUUUGGAAUCGGGAGAACAAAGAAAAAGAAUCUUUCCUUUAAUGGAAACAAAUUAGUUGCGGUGGCGUUGCCAACCCAUUUUCUACUCUUAUAAGAGUACUAUACUAUUCUCUCUCUUUCUUCAUUUAUUUAUUUAUUUUUUUUUUUACCAAGUCUGCAGUCACCAUCAGCUCCAACAAACAGGAACCUCUUUACACCUUCAAACCACCAAAGGCCAAUCAUCUCAAUUGUUUCCGCACCAACCUAACUUCAAUAUAGUAAUAUUUAGGUUUACAUUUUUCCUUGUAAGUUGUAAUCAUCUUAUAGUAGUUUUUUUGUAAAAUCUUUGUCCUUUUUUGUUGGAGAGUUGUAUGAUUUAAGAAACGACAUAGAUAGCAACAUUUGAAUCCGCAGCUUCUAAUUUUAAAAUGUUUUUAGAUUUUUUAUAUGAUGUAUGUGAGAUGAAAAUAUGAUUGAAAAAAAUAUAUUAAUGAUGCAAAUAAAUAAAAAAUUAUAAAUAAACUACAAUACAAACAAUGAGCGAAACUUUCUAAGUAAAUCAUUUUAUAGUUAUUUAGACAAAUGUUUAAGCUCGAUUCUCAUAUAUUAUACACUUUGAUAUUCCCGUAGUGAAACAGGGAAAGCUUUUUCCAAAGUUUAAAUUAGUUUUUUUUUUUUUUUUGGAAAACAAAAUAUUAUUGUGAUACUAGCUGAUCCUUCUAAAGCGUUAGCCCACGAUAUUAUGUGUGUAGUCAACAACAGGAUUAAUCUUUGCAAAUAUGGCUAAAGGCCCGUUUGGAUUUAAGGUAUUUUUGUUUAAACAGGUGUUUUUGAAGGAUAAAAGUAAUUUUAAUGUACUUUGUAAGCAUCAGUCCUUGAAUUUGGGGACAGAGCUUUUGGCAUAAGUUCAAAAUUAGUGCUUUUAGAACAACUUUCGCAUUUCAAAAAAUAAAAAUUAAUUAUAAAACUUCAACUAAAUGAAGAAAUAAAUAUAUUUUAGAAAUUAAAUUCAAAAUUGCACAUUAUUAAAUAGGAAAAGUGCUUAUACAAGUAUGCAUCCGAACAAAAAAUACAAUUAAACAAUUAAUAAUUACUUUGACCAUAAGUUUUAGUAAUUGAAAUACUUUUUAAUAAGCCAUGACCAACCCCCCAUUAUGACCCUUGAGUAUACUCGAAAUAUUUAUAUAUCCAAGUUAUAACAUUUGGCUGCAUCACUCAUAGCACUUACAGCAUUCAACCUUUUUUUUUUUUUUUUUUUUUUGACAAGCGGCCAACCAGUCAGUGCAUUGCAUCUGGCUACUGGAACCAGCUUCCUUUGUCGGCUUACGAAUUGAAAAUAUCGGGCACUUGUUUCCAUUGUCUCCCAUACCUUGUAUGAGGACAAUAACAACAGCAACCGAUAAAAUACUUACUACUACUAAUUAAUAAACGACAUAGUUUUAUACCGGUAAAAGAGCAAAGAGAAUAAUUUGUUUACAUCUUCUUCAGGUUUUUCCUUAACAGUAGGUCAUGACUCAUGGCCUUGCGUUCGUUCGGCUGUUGGUGUACGCAAAAUUUUCUAAAUUCUAAGCUUAUAAAAAGUCUGGCUUUGUUUGCAUGAAGCAUUAUUCCAAAUAAUUAUCUAGAAUAAUUACUGUAGCACUGUCUGUGAUGUGAUAUAUGUGAAAUAAAAAGAUAGUUGAAAUUAUAAAAAGGUAAAUUAAAAAAUGUGUUUAUGAUGCACGCUAAAAAUUUUUUUGAAAAAAUUUACUAUCCAAAUAAUUUCCUGCUUCAUAUACUUUUUUUUUUUUUUUUUAUUCGUCACUUAUUUACUCUACUCCUAUUCCUACUUUAGUCUAAUCUAAGGAGAGGCUCAACUAAACCUACAAAAUAACCGAUAGGAAUUUAAGAAAACUGCAUAUUGUGACGAAUGAUGGGAGUCAGAGUUUUAACCUUCGAUCUCCCGCCUCAUCGAGACUUAAAAUUCUUUGACAGAUCACAUAUACUAAUGUAAUGUAAUGGCUCCACUAAAUUGGCAACCCUUCCCCCCUCUCUCUCUCUCUCUCUCUUUUUGGUAUCAUCUUCUUGGCUUGGGGUUUCAGUUUUGCUUUUAGCACCCGUACU